CGUAAGGACGCCCCCCCCCGCCGGUAGCCAUCUUCGUGCAUAGCUUGCAACACCAUGAAAAAAUUACUGAGACACUAGGAAUGCUGUGAACUGAGAAAGUUUGGGACCUUUGGCAUAACUAAAUCCUUCAUUUAACAGAUGGAGUCUCAGUCUGUCACUAAGGCUGGAGUGCAGUGGCGCGAUCUCGGCUCACUGCAACCUCCACCUCCCGGGUUCACGCGAUUCUCCAGCCUCAGCCUUCCACGUAGCUGGGACUACAGGUGCAUGCCACCACACCCAGUGUUGUGAACCACUUGUCAUGGGAUAACCAAAAUUAAACCUGGAAUCGCAGAAGAAACAAAUUUUUUGAAGAAAUUGGAUGUACUUUUUUAAAAUUUUUCAUUCAACUAAAACUUUGUUAACUGUUUCUUGGUUGUGGUCUUCUCUAAAUUGUAAUCUUUGGCAUUCACUUCCAAAGUAUCCACCACUAAACUUCAUAACAUUUAUUGUGUCUCUUCAUCAUUAAACUUUGAUGAAUUUACAGAGUGUCUUUUGAAAUUAUGUUCUUGAGAAAGCCAGGGGAUUGGACGGUGUCAUGGAAAUGUCAAAGAAAAAGUGACACCUGAGAGAAAAUUUGAAAGAUGAAAGGUGCACAUCAUGGAGACAAUCUGACUGGUACAGAGAAAUGAAGAGACAACAUUUUCUUUCCAAAUCUGAGUGGAGAUACUCAGAGUUUCUUCUCAAAUGUACACUGAUAAAUACUCAACUGAAGAUUCAACUGAAAUCCUCUAUGGGUCUCCAGACUCCCCCAUUCUGGAACUCUUCCCUGCAAAUUCCAGCUGCCUAAACUCCCUUCCAUCUCUCAGUUUCUCUAUAACUGAGGAACACCGUCAGGCUCCAGCUGGAUUUUCCUUCCUUGUGCACUGAUCUGGAAAGUCUUUCACAUCAGUAAGUGAGGGAAAUCAUAGAGUUCUCCUGGAUAGAAGAGGCCCUGGUUAGCAGCUUCAGAUGAUGGAUACAUAAAAAUGGGAGAGAGAAAACAUAUAAGAGUGACUAAUUGUUGAGUUUCCAGGGCUCAAACCAAUCUUGAAUUGGAAUUUCAAGACAUAAAAACCACUGCAGGAACCUGCUGGAGAAACGGCCUCUGGUAUCUCUAUCUGAAAUAUGAUUAUCUUAAGUUCGCAAAGCAUUGUGUCUGCAGUGUGAGUUUGAAAACAACAAUGUUAAGGCAACUUCGCAGCUUCUUAAUCAAGCCCUUCUCCAUCUCUCCGUGUGGUUUUUGGGGUGGUGGAGGUGGAGCCAAAAAAGAGAGGGCAGUUUCCCAGGGCUGAAGAUGCUACCAUGACUCAUAGGAUCUAUGCAAACCCUGUGAGUGAAUUCUGAGGAAGAAGAAUGAGUAAUAUUUUGAUUUUAUUACUGAUGGUAAUAAGAUAGUAUCAUCAGUGUGGUAUAUUCUGAUUACUGAAUUCUAUUCCCUAUUUUCUUCCUGUGGCCAAAUAAAAUUUGUGUGUGUAAGCUAUGAUAUUUAGUGUUGUUAUCUGAUGAGACAGGUUUAGUGGAAAAGUUCAUUUUAAAUAAACAUUAAAAUUGUUUCAGCCUCAGAUUUUUAAUCCAAAUCAUUCCUUUGACACCAGAAGAAUUUUCCUCAGAGUCAACUCCAAAGAUAAAGCUGCCUGUUUUCCUAUUUGCCCAGAAGUAAAGAGGUUGCAAAA
rnacentral:lncRNA from 1 species